rnacentral:lncRNA from 1 species
UUCAGGUGUAGACUUGAAUUAGUUGUUACACGAUACUACACUCGGAUGAGUUUCUCUUGAUAAUAUUAUUGGUUGACGAGUAGUCGUAUAAACCGAUAAUAUCCAAAAGAUGGAAUUACGACUCUGGGAACUUUUUAGAACCUUGUUCUACAUGUGAUUAUAUUCUUAGUACAUACAUUGUGGGUUGGUUCUUACCCUUGACUCCAUGCUCGUGACUCCGAACCUUUAGACCUUGUUUAUGUGCUUUGUGUGACCUUGAUUGUGAUUGUUGCA